rnacentral:rRNA from 1 species
UACGUAGGGGGCUAGCGUUGUCCGGAAUCAUUGGGCGUAAAGAGCGUGUAGGCGGCCCGGUAAGUCCGCUGAUGAAAGUCGGGGGGCUCAACCCCGUCGAAUGCCGGAUGGAUACGUGUCGGGCUAGGAGUGCGGAAGAGGCGAGUGGAAUUCCUGGUGUAGCGGUGAAAUGCGCAGAUAAUCAGGAGGAACACCGAUUGCGAAGGCAGCUCGCUGGGACGGUACUGACGCUGGAGAACGCGAAAGCGUGGGGAGCAAACAGG